UGGGGAUCCAGAAAGUGGGAUCCUAUUCCACUUUGACAGACACUGGACAAAGAUCUUGGGUACAUGUUCAAAAGCACCAGCACGUAAUGCGAGCAUAAAGAACGACUCACUGAAUAAUGGGGGAUUGGCUACUAAUCCCUUUUAUCCGUCAAUUGCCUCAACUUGGAGGUCUUAUCAAGUAACACAUGCCUCAUCUUGGAGGUCUUUGGCACAAAUGUAAAC
rnacentral:lncRNA from 1 species